AGCUGAGACACAUUAGGGGAGGGAGCGGUGAUCAACACAGGAGGGAAACACACCAAAACACGACACAGACCAUGACAGGUUAUUCUUAACAAGAACAUAAUCAUUAGCCUGCCCCCAUUUACUUUUUAACCGAAGGAACCAGACAAACACCACAAGCAGUAAGGACAAAAAGGAAAAUCAUGGAGAGUUGGUAAUAUUUGAUGUGAAAACAACUGGAGGACAGGCAAUUGCUAACAGGAUGUCUGACAGGCCUGAGGUGGUCUGUGGUCAAGGGUAGGGUCAAUCCCCAAGGCUGAUCCUCUGGCACUAGGGAAACAAUAGAUAGACGGACGGACGGACUGUUACGUAGGUACCCCCGCCCCUCCCUGUAGAGUAUCCUGCAGGCCCAGUGGUGACAACAGCUGAGGGCAAUUACAAUCAAAAGGGGCGGGUGGAUAAAGCCUGUGCUCUCCCACACCACUUGGCUCUGGAGAGGGAAAGUAUGAAAAAUCAAUUGAGAGAAUUGGGUAUGCAGGAGUAUACUUUGGAAAAUAUUUUAAGUUUAAUGAAGAGGAAUUGUAUAAAAGUAUUGUUUGGCUUUUUGAGAGAAACAGGGUUAUAUGGUAGGAUAUAGAGUAGAAAGAAGGUGUGAAUGAGUGAGUGUUUGGAUAUUUUUGUUUUUGAUUCGUUAACUGGAUCAGAAGAGGGCGGUAAUGCACCAAGUUGUGGAUGCCAACCGCCGAAAAACCCCAAGAAGAAGAAGAAGACCACUUGGCUCUAAGCCACGGUUGAUACUGGUUGUAUCGUGUUUGGGCGCUACGCCAUUGAUGUGGACACUACCUGUCACAUUUGUAGGCUUUCGUGCCAUUGUUUGUAGGCUCUUUAGCCAUCAUUUAGUUGUCUUGCUGGUCUUGCCAGGCAAGUUACAUUUCCCUGGCGAUAGUCGUUUGCUCGUGUUGCAUUAGUUUGUAUUAUCACGCUGAGUGGGUUAUUGUUUGGUGCUUGUUUGUCUUACUGUUGUUCCUGUUUUGUUCUCCCUUUCCCUUAUCCCUUUCCAGUCAAUAAACAUUAUUUACUUUAGAAAACGUGUUUGCUUUGAAU
ensembl:lncRNA